rnacentral:ncRNA from 1 species
CCGCCCGGACGCUUCCGGCCGGGCGGCUGCGGCCUAGACCGUGAGGACGGCCUCG